UUUAUGCACGUGGUAGGAGAGCGUUCUAGCGGCGGUGAAGCAUGACCGAGAGGACAUGUGGAGCUUCUAGAAGUGAGAAUGCCGGUAUGAGUAACGAAAGACAGGUGAGAAUCCUGUCCGCCGCAAGACUAAGGUUUCCUGGGGCAGGCUCGUCCGCCCAGGGUAAGUCGGGACCUAAGGCGAGGCCGAGAGGCGUAGUCGAUGGACAACAGGUUGAAAUUCCUGUACUGCACCGAAUCGUUAUGAGCGAUGGAGGGACGCAGGAGGCUAGCAGCGCGUGGUGCUGGAUACCACGUUCAAGCGUCAAGUCUGAGAGUGAGUCAAAUGCUUGCUCUCAUAAGGACAAGGCGUGAUGAGGAGCGAAAUUAAAGUAGCGAAGGCUGCGACGUCACACUGCCGAGAAAAGCUUCUAGCCAGAGACGGUGCACCCGUACCGCAAACCGACACAGGUAGUCGAGGAGAGUAUCCUCAGGUGAGCGAGAGAACUCUCGUUAAGGAACUCGGCAAAAUGGCCCCGUAACUUCGGGAGAAGGGGCGCUGGUCGCAAGAUCAGCCGCAGUGAAAAGGCCCAAGCAACUGUUUAUCAAAAACACAGGCAUCUGCAAAAUCGUAAGAUGAAGUAUAGGUGCUGACACCUGCCCGGUGCUGGAAGGUUAAGAGGAGAGCUUAGCGCAAGCGAAGGUUUGAAUUGAAGCCCCAGUAAACGGCGGCCGUAACUAUAACGGUCCUAAGGUAGCGAAAUUCCUUGUCGGGUAAGUUCCGACCUGCACGAAAGGUGUAAUGAUUUGGGCACUGUCUCAACGAGAGACUCGGUGAAAUUAUAAUACCCGUGAAGAUGCGGGUUACCCGCGACAGGACGGAAAGACCCCAUGGAGCUUUACUGCAGUUUAAUAUUGGGUAUCUGUCAAGCAUGUACAGGAUAGGUAGGAGCCGGAGAAGAUAGGACGCCAGUCUUAUCAGAGGCGCUGUUGGGAUACUACCCUUGCUUGACGGAUGCUCUAACUCAGGCCUGUGAUCCAGGCCGAGGACAGUGUUUGACGGGCAGUUUGACUGGGGCGGUCGCCUCCUAAAGUGUAACGGAGGCGCCCAAAGGUUCCCUCAGAAUGGUUGGAAAUCAUUCGCAGAGUGUAAAGGUAAAAGGGAGCUUGACUGCGAGAGAGACAACUCGAGCAGGUACGAAAGUAGGGCUUAGUGAUCUGGUGGUACCGUAUGGAAGGGCCAUCACUCAACGGAUAAAAGCUACCCUGGGGAUAACAGGCUUAUCUCCCCCAAGAGUUCACAUCGACGGGGAGGUUUGGCACCUCGAUGUCGGCUCGUCGCAUCCUGGGGCUGAAGUCGGUCCCAAGGGUUGGGCUGUUCGCCCAUUAAAGCGGCACGCGAGCUGGGUUCAGAACGUCGUGAGACAGUUCGGUCCCUAUCCGUCGUGGGCGUAGGAAAUUUGAGAGGAGCUGUCCUUAGUACGAGAGGACCGGGAUGGACGCACCGCUGGUGUACCAGUUGUCUUGCCAAAGGCAUCGCUGGGUAGCUAUGUGCGGACGGGAUAAGCGCUGAAAGCAUCUAAGUGCGAAGCCCCCCUCAAGAUGAGAUUUCCCAUUUCUUCAAGAAAGUAAGACACCUCAGAGACGAUGAGGUAGAUAGGCCGGGAGUGGAAGAGCCGUGAGGCUUGGAGCGGACCGGUACUAAUCAGUCGAGGACUUGACCAAAA
rnacentral:rRNA from 1 species